rnacentral:lncRNA from 1 species
CCCACCCCACAGGCGUCUCUUCUGCCUCCCCUCUCUAUCUUCCCACGCCGUCGCCAGGAAACCAGGGUGCGCGCGCCGCGCAGCAUGCACCCCUGGCCGUCCAGCUCGACAGCAGCCAAGCCGCCACGCCCAGGCACGCACCGACCGGCGCCCAGGCCGAUGCCCUGCCCCUGCGCGCCCGCACAACCGACCGCCUGACCCGCGACACCGACGCGCCAGGAGCAGCUGAUGCCGCUUUGUUUAGGUAAUUGAGUUUGUUCUUUUUAAAGACCACUUGCAUCGCUCCAUGCAAUAUCUUUCUGCAAAAUCAGAUUCUAUUAUGCUACAUCUGAAGUAGAAGAUGAACUCUCUUGAUGAAGUAGAGGUGAGGCCACCCUUGUCGAUUUGAAAGCAUUGCUUUGGCCCAAAUUUUUAUUUUGCUAUAUGGAUGCACGUGUUGAUGUAUAUAUAAGCAAAUGUAUCAUUUUUUGUGUUCUGCCUCUAACCAUUCUGAACAUGUAAUUUUGGAUUCUUAAUUUAUGUAUUGGUGCUACCUGGUUAUGUUAUCAAUUGCUAUUAUGAGAGGAUAUAUUGAUGCUUGACAAUUCAAAUAUUUGUUGCUAACUUGAAGAUUGUUAUUUUACUUCUCAUUGCAGUCUAUUCUAGAAAGUGUGAGCCAUGGAACAAAGCUGGUUGAAAAAAGAACUACAUGCAUUUACCCCGUUUUUGUUUGGUUUCAUCUUAUUCUUUCUUUCAGACGCUUUAUUGUAGGUGGUUCGGAGUUCUGUGUAUCACAAGAGACAUCUAGGUUGACCUCACUCUUCUUAGUGUUCAUGCCCACUAUGCAGGACAACACCGCAACACUGAUGGAGUUGGACGAUUUCAUCAGGCUGGACUGUAUCUGGAUGGGAUGGACUCUACUCGUAAGUAGAGAGAGUGCUUGUCUUGUGUAAUACCCAAAAGUGUAAACAGUGAAAAUAGAGAUGAGCUCAAUAUUUUGUGACCUAUAUUUAUCAUCUCAUGUGAACACUUCAUUUAAAAGUAAAUAAUCAAUAAAGGACAUAUCACUAAAUUGUGCAUCAC